UCUGAAGAGAGCUUUAUUAAAUCCCUCCUAGCCACCAUUACCAACCACUAAAAGGAUGACAGAGUAACAAAAUGUGUUGUCUAAGCAGAGACCUGGUGAGAAAAUGAAAAACGUCAAACCUGGUUUUUAACAACUUAAGUCAACCAGUAAUGAUUAAGCACCUACUCCAGGCGCAGCACCGGAGACAGACACCAGGAGGGAAAACGGCAGUGCCUCCCUUCAACGAACUCCAAGUCUAGUGGGAGGCGAAGACAGAAACAAAUCAAUAUAACUUGGAAGGUGAAGGCAUAGCCAUCAAACAGGGCAGGAGAGAUUCAGAGAAGCAGGGACUACUUCCAACCAUCAGGAUCAAGGAAACAACAGAACUAAAUAUUCCCAGCUCCUGAUUCUCAUAUAACAUGAACUGGAGAAACCAUCACACCCUCAUUCUUGGAAGCCGUGCCUCUUGUAAAUGCAGUCCAAGAAUACAUGAGCUUUUUGGCUGACUCAUAUUGAGCUUACAGUUCACUAAAACCCCCAUCUUAUCCUUGGGAAGGUGUUGUUUUUGAACCUAAAGAUGGGGAAGCUGAGGCUGAGAGAAAUUUAGUGACCUGCUCAGAAUCACACAGCUACUGAGUGCCUGAAAUGAGAUUCAAACCCAGGGCUUUGGAACUCUUAAGCCCCAUGCUUUAUCUACUACACGGCUGCCCACUCCAGGCCAAGAAAGAAGAGAACCCAGCCUUUCACAGAGAAAUCUCCUUUUCUAUCCUUGGAUGAGAAGCAGCUUGGUGUAGUGGAUAGAGCUAGCAAAGACCUGGGUUCAAGUCCUACCCCAUGGCAUGCUGGCUUUUUAACUUUAGUCAAACUCAAAUAAAAAGUGGGGCCAGCAACCUGUGUUUAAGGAUGCCUGCAGGCACAUACUGACUUAGAAAACCACAUAUUAACAUUUGUUAUGUGUUACUGUAUUUUUAUUUUAUUUUGUUAAAAUAUCUCCCAAUUGCACUUUAAUCUAGUUUGGAUACACUUCGGAGCCUCUCAGGCCCUCCCACAUUUGACACUUGUACACUAAACAACUUUCCUCAGGCUAGAAAUUGCAGAAAAGGUGACAACCUGCAUUGGCAGAGGGAGUUUCCACACCUAAAAUGCCCCUGUACCAAUGAAAUCACAAGUCCAAUCCCUAAUCUUAUCCCUGUCUGAUGUCGGGGAAACAUGGAACCAAUGAUCUAGAAGGAAAUGUGAAUUCCAUACUAGUGGUUGUCUAUGAACACCGAAGAGGGACUUAGACAAAGGGUGGAAGGGAAAACUUGGGAGUCAUAAUCAAUACAUAUGACUGGGGGGGAUUUCUUUGUCCUGAUGCUGAAGAAUCAUAGACUGUUGGGCACCAAAUUUUGUGGCUCUAAUAAUAAACUAUAUAAACCUGGACUGGAGGCUCACCACCACCACCACCACCAC